rnacentral:rRNA from 1 species
GAUGAACGCUGGCGGCGUGCCUAAUACAUGCAAGUCGAGCGAACGGACGAGAAGCUUGCUUCUCUGAUGUUAGCGGCGGACGGGUGAGUAACACGUGGAUAACCUACCUAUAAGACUGGGAUAAAUUCGGGAAACCGGAGCUAAUACCGGAUAAUAUUUUGAACCGCAUGGUUCAAAAGUGAAAGACGGUCUUGCUGUCACUUAUAGAUGGAUCCGCGCUGCAUUAGCUAGUUGGUAAGGUAACGGCUUACCAAGGCAACGAUGCAUAGCCGACCUGAGAGGGUGAUCGGCCACACUGGAACUGAGACACGGUCCAGACUCCUACGGGAGGCAGCAGUAGGGAAUCUUCCGCAAUGGGCGAAAGCCUGACGGAGCAACGCCGCGUGAGUGAUGAAGGUCUUCGGAUCGUAAAACUCUGUUAUUAGGGAAGAACAUAUGUGUAAGUAACUGUGAACAUCUUGACGGUACCUAAUCAGAAAGCCACGGCUAACUACGUG